GGGGGAUAACUAUUGGAAACGAUAGCUAAUACCGCAUAACAAUGGAUGACACAUGUCAUUUAUUUGAAAGGGGCAAUUGUUCCACUACAAGAUGGACCUGCGUUGUAUUAGCUAGUAGGUGAGGUAAUGGCUCACCUAGGCGACGAUACAUAGCCGACCUGAGAGGGUGAUCGGCCACACUGGGACUGAGACACGGCCCAGACUCCUACGGGAGGCAGCAGUAGGGAAUCUUCGGCAAUGGGGGCAACCCUGACCGAGCAACGCCGCGUGAGUGAAGAAGGUUUUCGGAUCGUAAAGCUCUGUUGUAAGUCAAGAACGGGUGUGAGAGUGGAAAGUUCACACUGUGACGGUAGCUUACCAGAAAGGGACGGCUAACUACGUGCCAGCAGCCGCGGUAAUACGUAGGUCCCGAGCGUUGUCCGGAUUUAUUGGGCGUAAAGCGAGCGCAGGCGGUUUGAUAAGUCUGAAGUUAAAGGCUGUGGCUCAACCAUAGUUCGCUUUGGAAACUGUCAAACUUGAGUGCAGAAGGGGAGAGUGGAAUUCCAUGUGUAGCGGUGAAAUGCGUAGAUAUAUGGAGGAACACCGGUGGCGAAAGCGGCUCUCUGGUCUGUAACUGACGCUGAGGCUCGAAAGCGUGGGGAGCGAACAGGAUUAGAUACCCUGGUAGUCCACGCCGUAAACGAUGAGUGCUAGGUGUUGGAUCCUUUCCGGGAUUCAGUGCCGCAGCUAACGCAUUAAGCACUCCGCCUGGGGAGUACGA
rnacentral:rRNA from 1 species